GUGCUCACUUCGGCAGCACAUAUACUAAAAUUGGACCGAUACAGAGAAGAUUAGCAUGGCCCCUGAGCAAGGAUGACAUGCAAAUUCGUGAAGGCUCUGAGGAGAAAAUCCAU
rnacentral:snRNA from 2 species